rnacentral:rRNA from 1 species
AUUGAACGCUGGCGGCAUGCUUUACACAUGCAAGUCGAACGGUAACAAGUCUUCGGAUGCUGACGAGUGGCGAACGGGUGAGUAAUGCAUCGGAACGUGCCCAGUCGUGGGGGAUAACGCAGCGAAAGCUGCGCUAAUACCGCAUACGAUCUAUGGAUGGAAGCGGGGGACCGUAAGGCCUCGCGCGAUUGGAGCGGCCGAUGUCAGAUUAGGUAGUUGGUGGGGUAAAGGCCCACCAAGCCAACGAUCUGUAGCUGGUCUGAGAGGACGACCAGCCACACUGGGACUGAGACACGGCCCAGACUCCUACGGGAGGCAGCAGUAGGGAAUUUUGGACAAUGGGCGCAAGCCUGAUCCAGCAAUGCCGCGUGCAGGAAGAAGGCCUUCGGGUUGUAAACUGCUUUUGUACGGAACGAAACGGCUCUCUCUAAUACAGAGGGCUAAUGACGGUACCGUAAGAAUAAGCACCGGCUAACUACGUGCCAGCCGCCGCCGUAA